UUUGAUCGACCCCAACCACAGCGGGCGAUCCGCCGGCCGAUCCUGGCCGUAGGUCGCCAACAACGCUUGCGCCUC
rfam:Mycobacterium triplex DSM 44626 genomic scaffold, SCAFFOLD00001